GUCUAUUUUUUAACCCUGUUAUGUUUUAUCUUUAUUUCAUUUCUCCGUCAACUCAUGUACCAUGACUUGAGUUGACCAACAAUUAAAGAAGACAUGCUCCACCUGUAAACCUCCACCUUCAACACCACCAGUAAGGUGGAGGUAGAGAAGAGAACCCUGUUGACGAAAAAAAUUGACCAACAAUUAAAGAAGACGACCUGCUCCAACUGCUGAUCUACUGGUUGUAACAGAUUGUGGAAAAGCAUCACCAGCAGCACUGGACCAAUCAGGAGAGAGAAGACACAGAGGACUGAAGGGACUCAGAAAAUCCUGCUGGAAAUCCCAAGAUGAAGUUUCCUGAUGCAACAGGGGGACACCUGAGGACACAGAAUAAAGAAGGACCAUGUGAAGCAGGUCCUUCAAUAACAAACCAAGCAUGAGUUGACCAACACUGACAGCAGGUUACUUUGUCCAUCUACUCAUCUACUGGUUGUAACAGAUGAUGGUGAAGGUUGAGGAGAUAAUGACUUGAUCAGAAACUGUGGCCGACAACUGCAAACGCGCAGCAAACAGCAAAACGAGCUGCAAACAGACUCAUGAAGAGGACGGUCAGAGUCGUCCAUAGCUUUCUUGACUCUUCUGAAGAAUCUUUCUUUGCGUCAUCUCCAGAGGUUCCACAGUCAUCUCCAGAACAGAACCAGAACCAAUCCAGCCUUCUUUAUCAGAUUGUUGAGCCUUUUGAGGUUCCUGGCUCUGAUGCUGCUGCACCAACAGAUGGUAGCAGAAGAGAUGACACUCUCAGCAGCAGACUUAAAGAUCUGCAGCAACUUGCUGCAAACCUUGAAGGAUCUUAGCUUCCUGGAGAAGUGCAGUCUGCUCUGUCUCUUUUUGUAGACGGCUUGUCCAUGUGGUUCCUGUCUUCUGUUGCGUCUCCAGUCCAGUCUGUGUUCCAGAUGAACACCGAGUCAAGAUUAGAUGAUUGUUCCCUCACCUGGCCACAAAGUGAUCCACCAGAUCUCUGUACUCAGCCUCUUGUCUUCCUCUGAUACACAACAACUGCAGAUUCGUCUGAGUAUUUCUGUAGAUGACAGAAGUCGGACUUGUGCUGGAAGUCUCAACAGUAGAGGGUGAAAAUGAAUGGUUGUCACAGAUGCAGGUGAUUGUUGAGGCCUCCACCUGUGUCUUCUGGAGUUUCUAACAGAGCAGAUCAGGCUGAAUUGUGUUCAAUGCACCUGGGAACCAAAGACCCUGAUCCUCACUGUGCUGCCUGCUUUGUCCAGAUGACAGUGGGUUUGUUGAAGCAGGUGUCUGAUCAACUCCAACUCCACGGCGAUAAGCAAACUGCAGGGGGUCCUGAUAUGUGAUCGUCUGCUUACUCAAGUGGGCCACCAGGAAUCUCUCCAGGACCUUCAGGAUGUGGGACGUCAGGGCAACAGGUCUACAGUCAUUAUGACUGAUGGGUGACUUUUCUUCGGUACCGGAACCAGACGGGAUGUCUUCCACAACAACGGAACCUCCUCUUGGGUCAGGCUAAGGUUGAAGUGAUGCUGCAGAAUCCCACAGAGGGAAUCUGGGACUGACAGCAUCUGGACCUGCAGCCUCGUUCCUGUUCAGUUUCUCCGGCUGCUUCUUCACCUGACUUCUAGAUACAGAAAAGUUGGAGGUGGAGGCAAAGGGAGCAGCAGCGUCUCCUGAUGUGGUUAAAGACAAACUUGUGGAAGCAGAAGAGUCCAUGACUGAGGUGGAAGAUGGAACAUCUGAGGUUUGACAGGAAAGCUGUGGGUCAGAGGAGGAUGAGAAAUCUGUUUGGCUGCAGACAGGAGAGGAAGAUGAUGAGCUUGUUCCUGGACUGAACCUGUUGAAGAAUGUGUUCAGCUCAUUUCCUCUGUCCAGAAACUAAUAUUGUUAAAAAAAAGUCAUGGUAGCAUGUUUUUAUGUAAUAAUGUGUAUGUAAUGUGUGGAAUGAAGAAGAUAUGCUGCAUAAUCUGAUGGAAUUACAGAAAAUCAUUGUGGCUCCUGCUCAGUGUAAAAACACACAUUUUGUUGGUUUCUGAAGAGUAAAAAUUGAACAAAUGUGUACAUUUAAAGAUUAAAUUUAUAUUUCACAGUCAUCACAAUGCUAAAGAAAAGUCUCACAACAGGGUGAAAAUCAUGGUGUUUAUUUACAAGACAGGAAGCAGGAGGAAGAUAUUAAAGAAUGUAAAAUAUUUUGCAGUGUCAGGUUAUUUCUAUGUAUUAUGAUGUAAUAUAAUACAUGUAUUUUUGGACUUAUUGUAUUCUGUUUUAUUUUUGUGUGUAACUUUUACUUGAUUUGUGAAAGCAUGGAAAGUUAUUAAGCUGAUCAUAGAGUAAAAUAACAUUAAGUUGUAAGCAAAUUCAAUAAAAGCUUUUUUUUCCGUCA